UCUGGAGCAAAAAAGACAGAACAAUUUACUACCCGGUUAUUUCCAGAAAAGUGUGAAAAGGAUUAAUCGAUACACUAUUAAAACGGGUGAAUAUCCUAAAAUGCAUAGGAAAUUAAUCAUGAAUCCAGUCUUAUUAGUCUUCUAGCAAUCUGAGCUAACUAGGGUAAAACACUGUACCUACUCUCAUGACAAAGCAGUUUAACAUGCCUUUAGAUGGUUAUGAUCCAUUAAAGCUUGUUUAUACUAGAAAAUUCAAUAAGAAUCCAUAUUAAGUAAUUCUCAAUGCAACGCAAUCAUGACAUGUGCCUCUGCAUCUCCUUUGAAUGUCCUGCAUUGGGGAGCAUUUCUUAUCGCAUCGCAUCAUGUUAAUUGCGAUACAUAUUUCAUUUUUUUACUAACGAAGAACCGAAGAGUGACGCAAGUAUCGAUGUUAAAUCUGAGCUCGAGAUUGAUUUUGAAGCAUCUGAGCAUCAAGGUUUGGGAAAUUCCGAAAUAUGCAGGAAGUAUCGAGGUUAAAUCUGCUGUUAUGUUAUUGGUUCCUUCAUGAUUCAUGCGAUUCUGAUGUGAUGUUUCAUGUUUUUUAUUCCUGUCUUCGUGAUGAACCUUUCAUAUCGUGUGAUGGUAUGGUUUGCUUGUUAUUGGUUGUGCUUUUUUAUCAUUUCUAAUUAUGUUUAUUUGAUAUUCGUAUUUUCUAGUAUUUAUUUAUUGAAGUUUCAUGAAUAUCUUUCUAUCCAAAGAUUUAAGUUUCAAGUUAUUCCUUUGCAUCUCAUUCAAGUGUCAGUGAUACCGGAUGUGUAAUUUGGUUCCUAUAUUCAGAUUCAUGUGAGUGCUGGCUCCACUACUCGGUUUUAUCGGUAAAUGCUAAGGAUAUACUCACGCCUGAACAUAUAACUACUGUUUCAUCGCUAUUUUCAGGUACCGAAUGACCCUGGCAUGCGUGGAAGGGUUAGUAUCUUGUUCAGCACACUUACACCAAAACUUGGUCUUUUCAGUAAUGACAUAGAGUGGUAAUUACCAUGUCUGUUAUAGCGGGUUGCGUUGGUCAAAUGUAUUGAGUUCAAGAGUUGUAUCGGGUCCUAGUUUUAGCUUUGAGUGAAAUUUCAUUUUUGCA